GAAAGAGAGUACUGGACACAAGAGAAAUGCACCAGAGUUACUCAUGCGCAAAGAGAGGGUCAGAAAGAUAGUGCAGUACAAAAGAGAAGUGCACCAGUUACUCGUACAGAAGGAGAGGGUCAGAAA